UACGUAGGGUGCAAGCGUUGUCCGGAAUUAUUGGGCGUAAAGAGCUCGUAGGCGGUUUGUUGCGUCGGCUGUGAAAUCCCGAGGCUCAACCUCGGGUCUGCAGUCGAUACGAGCAAACUAGAGUGUUGCAGGGGAGACUGGAAUUCCUGGUGUAGCAGUGAAAUGCGUAGAUAUCAGGAGGAACACCGAUGGCGAAGGCAGGUCUCUGGGCUGACACUGACGCUCGAUGCACGAAAGCGUGGGGAGCAAACAGG
rnacentral:rRNA from 1 species